rnacentral:rRNA from 1 species
UACGGAGGGGGCUAGCGUUGUUCGGAAUUACUGGGCGUAAAGCGCACGUAGGCGGCUUUGUAAGUUAGAGGUGAAAGCCUGGGGCUCAACUCCAGAACUGCCUUUAAGACUGCAUCGCUUGAACACGGGAGAGGUGAGUGGAAUUCCGAGUGUAGAGGUGAAAUUCGUAGAUAUUCGGAAGAACACCAGUGGCGAAGGCGGCUCACUGGACCGUUGUUGACGCUGAGGUGCGAAAGCGUGGGAAGCAAACAGG